GACGAACGCUGGCGGCGUGCCUAAUACAUGCAAGUCGAACGAGAGCGACCGGUGCUUGCACUGGUCAAUCUAGUGGCGAACGGGUGAGUAACGCGUGGGUAACCUGCCCAUCAGAGGGGGAUAACAUCCGGAAACGGAUGCUAAAACCGCAUAGGUCUUCGAACCGCAUGGUUUGAAGAGGAAAAGAGGCGCAAGCUUCUGCUGAUGGAUGGACCCGCGGCGCAUUAGCUAGUUGGUGAGGUAACGGCUCACCAAGGCCGUGAUGCAUAGCCGACCUGAGAGGGUGAUCGGCCACAUUGGGACUGAGACACGGCCCAAACUCCUACGGGAGGCAGCAGUAGGGAAUCUUCCGCAAUGGACGCAAGUCUGACGGAGCAACGCCGCGUGAGUGAAGAAGGUUUUCGGAUCGUAAAACUCUGUUGUUAGAGAAGAACAAGUGCUAGAGUAACUGUUAGCGCCUUGACGGUAUCUAACCAGAAAGCCACGGCUAACUACGUG
rnacentral:rRNA from 1 species